UGAUAAUGGUGAGGGCAACUAAUAAGUAAAGAUUUAAACCUUUCCCAGUCUUGGUAUAAAUUUUCUCUAGAUUUCUGUUUGAAACUUAGAAUUUCACUUCUUAGCUU